rnacentral:rRNA from 1 species
GACGAACGCUGGCGGCGUGCUUAACACAUGCAAGUCGAACGGUGAUGCUCCAGCUUGCUGGAGUGGAUCAGUGGCGAACGGGUGAGUAACACGUGAGCAACCUGCCCCAGACUCUGGAAUAAGCGCUGGAAACGGCGUCUAAUACUGGAUACGAAACUGGCCCGCAUGGGCAUGGUUUGGAAAGUUUUUCGGUUUGGGAUGGGCUCGCGGCCUAUCAGCUUGUUGGUGAGGUAAUGGCUCACCAAGGCGACGACGGGUAGCCGGCCUGAGAGGGCGACCGGCCACACUGGGACUGAGACACGGCCCAGACUCCUACGGGAGGCAGCAGUGGGGAAUAUUGCACAAUGGGCGAAAGCCUGAUGCAGCGACGCCGCGUGAGGGAUGACGGCCUUCGGGUUGUAAACCUCUUUCAGCAGGGAAGAAGCGGAAGUGACGGUACCUGCAGAAGAAGCACCGGCUAACUACGUG